UGUAUUCACUACUGUAAGUCGCUCUGGACAAGAGUGUCUGCUAAAUGACUAAAA
rfam:Salmo salar isolate Sally breed double haploid chromosome ssa23, whole genome shotgun sequence.